GACGUAGGAUGCGAGCGUUAUUCGGAUUUAUUGGGCGUAAAGCGUGCGUAGGCGGCUAUUUAAGUCUGGUGUUAAAGCUAGGGGCUCAACCCCUGUGAUGCACUGGAUACUGGGUAGCUUGAGUGCGGUAGGGGAAGGUGGAAUUCCAGGUGUAGCGGUGAAAUGCGUAGAUAUCUGGAGGAACACCGGUGGCGAAGGCGGCAUUCUGGACCGGCAUUGACGCUGAGGCGCGAAAGCCAGGGGAGCAAACGGG
rnacentral:rRNA from 1 species